AGAGCUCAUCCAUAAUUGUCAU
rnacentral:miRNA from 1 species